ensembl:lncRNA
GCCAGGAGCCAGGGCCCUGGGCUGUGAGCACAUGGACCUCCAUCUCUGGCACUGCUUUUGCCCCCUGUGCUGGCUGAACCAGGGCACCAGCUGGAACCCAGGUUAGCAAGUGUGAGUCAUCACUCUUCCUCCUCACAGUGGACUGGCCUCUGGGGUCUGAAGUGAGACUCGGUCUAAUUCCGUCUGCUGUGUGACCUUGGGCAACUUGCGUAACCUCUCUGGGCUUUAAUUUUUACCUUGUAAAAGAAUGAAUUGAUGUCUAUGACAUAUAUUUUUGGUCCCCAACUAGAUAAAGUCUGUAGGUGCUCAGAACCCCCGUUUGGCUCCCUUGGGCUUAGUCGAAUGCAGCAGGGCUAGUCAGUGUCCUUUUGCUCUGGGGAGGCUCUUCCCUUGGCCCCAAGGGAUUCGUGCCAGAAGGGAUGCAGAGGCAGGGGCUGAGGAGCGUCUGCAUGUGGCAGCGAGGAACGAGGUUAUGGGAAAGAAGGCCAUUCUUUCACUCAUUUGUCUGACAACUGUUUCGGACCAUCCGCCAGACUCCAGGCACCAGGCUCAGAAUGAGUGGCUGGAAGGAGGCCCGACGGUACCUGAUAAUUCAUGGUGGGGAUGGAGCUCUGUCCUCCAGGAGAGCUGCUCAAGCAGCAGGCCAGCUGCCGUGGGUCUCAUCCCACUGGCUGUCUUCCUCAAGCUCUGUUCCUUCCUCCCAGCCCUCCUUGCUGUCAGCAUCUCUGUUUGGCCCCAGGCCCAAGGCCCAGUGUUCCUGGCAACCAGGUUUUGGCUUUAUCAUCUGUCUCCCCGACAGUCCUCUGCCUUCUGCUAACUGAGCCGAGCUGCUUGAUCCUUGAAUGCACCUGUAUUUUAACGCCAGAACCAGGGCUUGUGGCCGUAUUCAAAUAUUCCGCAUGCCCCUUUAAGCACCUAGCAUGUCCCACUCCCCCCCAGCUGGGAAAUGGCAUAAGAAGUCUGUAUAGUAAAUUGUUGGAGGGUUAGAGGGGGUCUUUCAAAGCCAGUUGCCAUCUUCUUUCUUCUUCCCCCACGGCCAUGGCCUCAGUCCCCAGGCAAACUCUGGCUGAAGAGGGGAGGGGCAGAGCUGAGGAUGCUCACCUUUCUGGGUGACUCAGAACCGGGAAGAGAUCAUGGGGUGUGUGAAGGCAGGAGCAGGGCAGCCUCCUGCAGGCACUGCCCCGGUGAGGGGUGGGGAAUGGGGCCCCUCCCCUGUGCUGUCCCCCGGCUCCGCUCCCGCUGGUGGCCUCCUCCAGGCUCCCUGGCAGCCCUCCCGCCGCUCUCCGCUUCAGAGCUCCACACAGACUGAGGUUGAGCCAGGACUGGAAGGUGCAUUGUGCUGCACUCCCUGCUUUAUGAUUUGCAACAUUUUUUUUUUUAACGGCUGCCUUCACAACAGUGCAGUGCGCUUUGUCCUGGUCUUGUUAAUUUGGUAACAGAAAAAGCAAACCGAUAAAUCUCCAGUUUAUUGAAGAGCUUUUCCUGUAGUUACAAAAUUGUAUUUGCCAUUUCUCUUAAUCUUUUCACAUGCAUAUUGGAAACAAUUAUUCAAAUGGAUGAUAAUUACAUCUUUGGAAAAUGGAGGGGGAGAGAAGAGCUUUGAAGGCUGUGCCCUGGACUCGAGUAUCUGGUGCCGGCAGGGCUUGAGGGCUGAAGGCCAUCUGGCCGCUGAGCCUGGCCGCGCAGGCCUCUGGACCAGGGCACUGGCGGGCGGGAAGUGUCCCUCGCCGGCCCAGCUCUCCUGGGGAACCGGGAAGGGAAUUUGUUCCACUGCCUAAUUAGAUUUUUCUGUUUCUAAUCUCAUGAUGAAUUUGU